GCACCCAGCCAAAAUUGCCCACUUUCUGCCUCAGAAGUGAAGUGGUACCCAUAAGGCAGGAAGCCUGUACUUCUUCCCCUAAGCUAGCUUUGGAAUUAAAAGUCACUUUCUUUCUACCAGGCCUUGCUCUUCUUAAUUGGAUUCAGAAGAACCUGCAAUUCAGUGACACGGUGAUCAGCAGAAAGCCUGCUGGCCUCGUGAGCAAGUAACCUUUGCAAGCAUUCAUAGGUUCCCGGGGGGUGUGUGCACUUGUGUGUGGGGGAUAACUUUGGACCCACCUUGUUACUGUCCCAUGGUCAGUAGUUUCUAUUCCAAACUCUGUUUUUUCUGUCUGCUUUUUGGAGCUCCUAAUAAGGCGAUCGGAGCACAGACUCUUCUGCUUGGCACAUUCUCGGUUCCGCGCACCCCACCCAUUUCAUUUUGUGCUUCAGUAUCGCAGUUUCCAACAGUAGGACGCCUGGUUUUUGGAUGACAUUAAUGAGUUAAGAGCAGCAGAUUUAUAAACAUAUCCAAGAGCUUUCAGGCUUUGAAGAUAAAAGCACAGCCUGUUUCACGGCUCGAAACUUUCCAUGACAUGCUGCGGAGACAGGAAGCGCAUUUGCGGUCCCAGGCGCAUUCUAAGAGGUUCAUUUAGAGAGAGGGUAUCUGAUUCAAAAGCAGCGACCCUUACUUCCUAAACUGUGAAGGACACCGGACUGCUCCGUAGUCCUCAGAGUCAGAAGUGACCACGCAAUGGCGCUGCCCUGACGCCAAGGCUCCCACUAGCUCGGUAAAGCGGCGGGGAAUGCCCUGAGACACCAGACUAUGCUCAGCUGUGAUCAUGUCCUAAAGGGAAGGGUAGCAGCCGCUUGGAAAAUGGGACGUGUAUGUUUGUCAACACCACUAAAAGUUAAAGGCCUCACACGGAAAAACUGGGUUAAAAUACAAACUUCAAUGUAUUAUUAUUGUUUUAUCUUCUCAAGGAGAACUGAGAAGUAAUGAUCCACACAUUUGUCAUGCUCAACAGAGCCUUAAGGGAAGUUAACACAGAACAUUAAACACCAUCUAUUAAAGAAUCUCAUUUCACAAUAGUGAGUAAAAGGAAAAAAACAUGAGCAAACAAAGGAGGCCAUUCUUCCCCCCAGUUUAUUUUCAUGCUCAAACUAAGCUAUUAGUUACAAGAGGGGAAGAAAGACAAACUUAAAUGCUUUUAAAAUUUAGGCUAUAAUAGAAUUGUUUUUUCUUGCGAAAUACUGUUUUAAGUCCCUCUAUUCAGAAUACCACCCUGCACCUUAGAGCAGUGACUGCUGGCCUCACUUCCUUGACUUUGAUUUGAGAUUUCCUGGAAGCAACGUUGUCUUUUUCUGUUUUCCAGCCCAUUUCUCCUCACUAGACGCUUGAACUCCUUAGAGACCAGGCUGGUGUCUCCAGCCUCCCGUGCCUCCCACCUCACCUCCUGGCAUCUCCAGCACCCACACAGCGCUGUGGCCCCAGGCAUGGCCACUACUGGUGGGCUGCAUCCCAAGAGGUGACCAUGGCAUUCCCAGAGAAUGCAGCUCGUGUUCUCAGACAGGCACGGGCCAGCUGUGUCUGUUUCACUCUGUGAGCAGGUCUGAACCUGUAACUGCUCUUUUAUUUUAGUCUUGAGAAAGAUCCAUUUUGUUGUGAAUGCCGUCUCUACAGAAGGAGAGUCCUUGUUGGGACUAGGAUAAAAUUAUCAAAAUUAGCCCCAGAAACAGCAGUAAUUUAGGAGUGCCUUACCUUAUCCUGAGGUGGUUUGUUCGGCAACGGUUGAUGUGCCCUGCUAGUGAAAGCACCCUGCAAGCCAUUGGAAUCACUGUUCCUGUUUUCCAGGACUGGGAAGAGAGGCAGAUAAACGCAUGGGCAUAUUUUUUCCAGAGUCAGAAGUGAUGCAGGAGCAUAGGCAGCGGUGUGGGUGCCCUCAGGAGAGACACCACACACAGUUAGGAGGGGUGCAGGAAACUUUCCUGCAGAGGGGCUGUCUCAAAAGAUGGACAGCAAUCAGUAAGAGAAGGGGAGGCAGAGAGGCCAUACCAGGCAGAAGUAAUGGUGGGUAUGAAGGCAAGGAGGUGAGAAGAGCAUAGAUGGUCUUAGAAAUGACAGAGGAAGUUUAGAGCGCUGCACGCAUGACAGUGGCGGGGGGCGGGGGCAGAUUAUAAAAAACUGGCAAUGCUGUGUGGAGGAUUUAGACUUUAUUCUAAGGGUAUUUUGACAGGCAGCCUCUGAGACAGCUUCUGGGAAAUGUUCCCUCCUUGUCUAUAUUUUGGAAGAAUCUGUGAAGGAUUGAUGUUAAUUCUUCAUUAAAUGUUUGGUAAAAUUCAUCAGUGAAGGCAUCUGGUCAUGGGCUUUUAUUUUGU